rnacentral:lncRNA from 1 species
GCCCUUGAGUAGGUAUGAAUUCUUAUCCACACAGCCCAUACCCCAGAUAUUUCAUCUUGGGCACCUCCGAUGGGCCAGCCUCAGAGAGGCUGGAGAACCAGAGAGGGAGGAAGGAAAUGUGUGUGUGUGUGUGUGUGUGUGUGUGUGUGUGUGUGUGUGUGUGUGUGUGUGUGAGAGAGAGAGAGAGAGAGAGAGGGACAGACACAGAGACACACAGACAGACAGAGACGGAAUGGAGGGAGGAGGAGGAACAUUCAGGAGAAUGUCCACACCUCCACAUGGUCUUGCAAUCCAGUGACCACAGUGCUGUUCUCUGAGCAAAAUGCUUUAACUCCUGACAUUUUCUAAGGACUUUCUGCCUCCUUUUCUCUAUUUCUCUCCUUCCUCAUCUUCCUGGCUUAAAGAUCCAGCUAAAAUUCAGCGUUCUACAGGAAGAUUUUACGAUCCCCUAUAUUAAUAGCUCUGUUGAUUAUUUCCUCUUUAUCCGGCUUAUAUCGUUUGUAAGUGGUUGUUUACAUGUUGUCUCUCCCAUUUGUGAGCAGGGACCCUGUUUUUGCCUUUCAUUGUCUCCCUAAAACUUAGUACAAUGUCGGGUACAUAGUAGGUACUUAAAUGAUCACUGAUUGAGAGGAAGGAAGAGAGAGAAGGGCCACGGCAUGCCACCUGAGCCUGUGAUGGAUAGAAAAAACCCUUUUCAGUCCAGACUGGAUUCCUGCAACUGUGAGCUUCUGAACUGGGCUUCUGAACUGUGAGGGAAAAAAAGAGGAGAAAAUGGAGGAGGUGACCAAGAAGGAAGAAGGAAAAAAAGCAACGGAAAGGCCAAUGGACUCAGCCUUUGGGAGGCAGCCUGUCCUGCUCUCCCAACAAGGGGAAACCAAAGACACUAUCCCCCAGAAGGGAGCUUUCCAGGAGCCAAAAGUGUGGGGCCCUGGAGAGGCAGAAGCAGGGGCUUAUUGCCUGCAGGAUGAGGAGGCUCUGAGCAUUCCUGGAUCAGCAGAGGAGGAUGAGGAGAGUGAGGCUGUCCAGGCCAUGGCCCUAGGGCUGGAAUUACAGUGCAGGCUUCAGCUCCACCUGGACCAGCUGGAGGCCAAGGCGAAGGCCAAGGCAGCAGCAGCAGCCAGGGGCAGCUCAGAACCUGCUCUGGGGGCCUGUGGAAGUCUCACAGCCCCAGACUGCCCUCAGCCCUUGGCCUGCCAGGGCAGUCAUGGGGAGCCCCAUGUCAGGGCCCAAGAGUUGGAGGCUGUCCUGGGGCAAGUCUCUGAAGAGGUUAAUCUGGGUGAGAAGGGAGGCUCAGAGCCAUCUGGGGGGCCCCUUUGGGGAACAGGAUGGUGUCCCAGAGAGAAGGGGGAAAUUGCUGCUGAAGCUUGGGGAGGCCUGCCAACCUCUAAUCCUACUAGUGUCUGCCAAAGAAGGCAGCUCUACCCAAAUCUGGAGCUAAAAGGCCAGGUCCCUGAAGGAGCCAGUACCCUGGGGCUAACACAUGAGAACUGCAGCCUCAGGGACACCAGUAGCCAGAAGCCUGGAGAGGCCCUGACCCCACUUGGGGAGCAGCUGGAGAGGUGA